AGUGAACGCUGGCGGUAGGCCUAACACAUGCAAGUCGAACGGCAGCACAGUAAGAGCUUGCUCUUACGGGUGGCGAGUGGCGGACGGGUGAGGAAUACAUCGGAAUCUACUUUUUCGUGGGGGAUAACGUAGGGAAACUUACGCUAAUACCGCAUACGACCUACCGGUGAAAGCAGGGGAUCUUCGGACCUUUCGCGAUUGAAUGAGCCGAUGUCGGAUUAGCUAGUUGGCGGGGUAAAGGCCCACCAAGGCGACGAUCCGUAGCUGGUCUGAGAGGAUGAUCAGCCACACUGGAACUGAGACACGGUCCAGACUCCUACGGGAGGCAGCAGUGGGGAAUAUUGGACAAUGGGCGCAAGCCUGAUCCAGCCAUACCGCGUGGGUGAAGAAGGCCUUCGGGUUGUAAAGCCCUUUUGUUGGGAAAGAAAAGCAGCAGGUUAAUACCCCGCUGUUCUGACGGUACCCAAAGAAUAAGCACCGGCUAACUUCGUG
rnacentral:rRNA from 1 species